rnacentral:ncRNA from 1 species
UGAAAGUCAAGGAACUAGAGUAGUAGAUGGUCAUACUUUUUAAGAGAACUUAUGGCUGGUGUGAAUAAGUAAAGUCAUCCAUUGAACUCGCUAGGGAGAUGGGUCUGUGAUAAGCAGAUCACGUAUUGCUGCGUUAAAGCAUUAAGCGCAUGAAUCAGUCUUCAUGAACUAAGGUGGUACCGCGAGUUCUCGUCCUUAGA